GACUGAAUGAUGAUUCUAAGGUUUUCGUUUUUUUCGUUUUUUUUCGUUUUAAUGUUGAUUGUGUUUGCUCUGUAUGCUUCUAAUUUUGUGAUGUUUGAAGCAGACAUUGGUUAGGACUGGUGUUGUAUGCCUACUGAUAUGCUUUGUUUUAUGGCGUGUUAGAAGCUUUUAGAAACCAACCUAUUUAAGUGUGUAUAAUAUGAAUAAUAUUUAAGGGUUUAUGCUUGCUUGUGGUUCUUCAGCUUCGUCACCAACUGUUAUUGUACCUCAAGGAAUGACCUCUCUACCGCAACCCUUUACUUUCAACUCAAUGAUAUUAGUUUCAAUGUAAUUCUACGUUUCUCUUCGUCCUAAAUUCAAUUAUAUAUUUAGCGAUAGUAUUGUAUGAAACUAAGGAUAUAUAACAAUGAUGUCUUUUGUAUGAUUUAGAAGCUGUUUUUAAUUAGUUUUGUGAAAACUUUGCAUAUGAAUUGUGCUACAGAUUGAUGGGAAAAUCAUAGCCCCAAACAAACCUUCUGCGUGGGAAUGCAAAAGGAAUUGUCAACAUCAAUGACCAGGGAGAUAAGUGGUGAAACUUUCUAGCAAAAAUAAGGAAAAGGUAGUAACUGAUAAACACACACACACACACACACACAUAUAUAUAUAUAUAUAUGUUCUUUGCUCUCUUGUAACAGGCCUGUCAACCUUGGAAAUCAACGUUAUAAGUGAUUGAAUUUCGAGUUCUUGAGUUUCUAAAGAUGUGUUAUACAAAGAUAGAUGAUAUGGCAGAAAAAUUGUCAACAUAAAACGAUAAUUACUUUUAUUGCAUGAGACUUCUCUUGGUUUUGUUUUUAGGGUUUUAUCAUAGCAUGCUCCAAGAAUGUAUAGAGAUUAAAGGGUUAACAUUUGAAGAUAGUCCAAAAAUGCAAUGUUCUACUUUGAUUCAUGCCACUAAACUUAGAAUCAAUAAAUUUGAAUGCAAAACUUCUC
rnacentral:lncRNA from 1 species